rnacentral:rRNA from 1 species
AUCGCUCAACGGAUAAAAGGUACUCUGGGGAUAACAGGCUGAUACCGCCCAAGAGUUCAUAUCGACGGCGGUGUUUGGCACCUCGAUGUCGGCUCAUCUCAUCCUGGGGCUGAAGCAGGUCCCAAGGGUAUGGCUGUUCGCCAUUUAAAGAGGUACGCGAGCUGGGUUUAGAACGUCGUGAGACAGUUCGGUCCCUAUCUACCGUGGGCGCUGGAAAUUUGAGAGGAUCUGCUCCUAGUACGAGAGGACCAGAGUGGACGAACCUCUGGUGUACCGGUUGUGACGCCAGUCGCAUCGCCGGGUAGCUAUGUUCGGAAGGGAUAACCGCUGAAAGCAUCUAAGCGGGAAGCCUACCUCAAGAUAAGAUUUCCCUAGGACUUUAUGUCCUCUAAAGAGCCGUUCGAGACUAGGACGUUGAUAGGUUGGAUGUGGAAGCAUAGUGAUAUGUGAAGCUGACCAAUACUAAUUGCUCGUGAGGCUUGACUAUACAACACCCAAGCAGUUG